rnacentral:rRNA from 1 species
GCAGUCGAGCGGUAGAGAGGUGCUUGCACCUCUUGAGAGCGGCGGACGGGUGAGUAAAGCCUAGGAAUCUGCCUGGUAGUGGGGGAUAACGCUCGGAAACGGACGCUAAUACCGCAUACGUCCUACGGGAGAAAGCAGGGGACCUUCGGGCCUUGCGCUAUCAGAUGAGCCUAGGUCGGAUUAGCUAGUUGGUGAGGUAAUGGCUCACCAAGGCGACGAUCCGUAACUGGUCUGAGAGGAUGAUCAGUCACACUGGAACUGAGACACGGUCCAGACUCCUACGGGAGGCAGCAGUGGGGAAUAUUGGACAAUGGGCGAAAGCCUGAUCCAGCCAUGCCGCGUGUGUGAAGAAGGUCUUCGGAUUGUAAAGCACUUUAAGUUGGGAGGAAGGGCAUUAACCUAAUACGUUAGUGUUUUGACGUUACCGACAGAAUAAGCACCGGCUAACUCUGUGCCAGCAGCCGCGGUAAUACAGAGGGUGCAAGCGUUAAUCGGAAUUACUGGGCGUAAAGCGCCCGUAGGUGGUUCGUUAAGUUGGAUGUGAAAUCCCCGGGCUCAACCUGGGAACUGCAUUCAAAACUGUCGAGCUAGAGUAUGGUAGAGGGUGGUGGAAUUUCCU